rnacentral:rRNA from 1 species
AAAGUCGUAACAAGGUCUCCGUUGGUGAACCAGCGGAGGGAUCAUUACCGAGUUUACAACUCCCAAACCCCUGUGAACAUACCACUUGUUGCCUCGGCGGAUCAGCCCGCUCCCGGUAAAACGGGACGGCCCGCCAGAGGACCCCUAAACUCUGUUUCUAUAUGUAACUUCUGAGUAAAACCAUAAAUAAAUCAAAACUUUCAACAACGGAUCUCUUGGUUCUGGCAUCGAUGAAGAACGCAGCAAAAUGCGAUAAGUAAUGUGAAUUGCAGAAUUCAGUGAAUCAUCGAAUCUUUGAACGCACAUUGCGCCCGCCAGUAUUCUGGCGGGCAUGCCUGUUCGAGCGUCAUUUCAACCCUCAAGCACAGCUUGGUGUUGGGACUCGCGUUAAUUCGCGUUCCUCAAAUUGAUUGGCGGUCACGUCGAGCUUCCAUAGCGUAGUAGUAAAACCCUCGUUACUGGUAAUCGUCGCGGCCACGCCGUUAAACCCCAACUUCUGAAUGUUGACCUCGGAUCAGGUAGGAAUACCCGCUGAACUUAAGCAUAUCAAUA